rnacentral:rRNA from 1 species
GUGCCAGCAGCCGCGGUAAUACGGAGGGUGCGAGCGUUAUCCGGAAUCACUGGGCGUAAAGGGCACGUAGGCGGUUUGUUAAGUCUGAUGUUAAAGACUGGGGCUCAACCCCGGCAUGGCGUUGGAUACUGGCAGGCUUGACGGUUGGAGAGGCGAGUGGAAUUGCCAGUGUAGCGGUGGAAUGCGUAGAUACUGGUAGGAACACCUAUUGCGAAGGCAGCUCGCUGGACAAUUCGUGACGCUGAGGUGCGAAAGUGUGGGGAGCAAACCGGAUUAGAAACCCCCGUAGUCC